UGCCGAAACCCUGGAUGGAACAAGGGACCUUUAGAUCUUCAGUCUAACGCUCUCCCAACUGAGCUAUUUCGGC
rnacentral:tRNA from 13 species